rnacentral:rRNA from 1 species
UACGUAGGCAGCGAGCGUUGUUCGGAAUUACUGGGCGUAAAGAGUGUGUAGGCGGUGCUCCAAGUCUGUUGUGAAAUCUCCCGGCUUAACUGGGAGGGUGCGGCGGAAACUAGAGUGCUAGAGGGUGGGAGAGGUAAGCGGAAUUCCUGGUGUAGCGGUGAAAUGCGUAGAUAUCAGGAGGAACACCUGUGGUGUAGACAGCUUACUGGACCACUUCUGACGCUGAGACACGAAAGCGUGGGGAGCAAACAGG